rnacentral:tRNA from 1 species
GUGGAUGUAGCUCAGCUGGUUAGAGCACCGGAUUGUGAUUCCGGGGGUCGCGGGUUCGAGUCCCGUCUUCCACCCCA